UCAGCACCAAGCUGCAACGCGAGGCAGCAACAUCAGACCACCAAAAACUAGCACCAAGCUGCACAAAAGCUGCACCAAACUGCACAAUCAAACUGCACCAAGAACAUCACCGAACUGCACCAAGAACGUCACCGAACUGCACCAAAAACGUCACCAAGCUGCACCAAACUGCACAAAAACCAGCACCAAACAACACCAAAAAAUCAGCACAAAAAAAUAGCACCAAACCACCAAAAGGUAGGGUCAGACCAAACCUGAAAAUAUUACUUUAAAUUCAGGAAAACAAGGCCUUUUUCCUAUUUUUUUGAGCUUUUCUAGAAAAUGGCAUUUACCAGUUAAAACUGCAGAUUCUCCAGGGUUUGUCGAAAUGUUGAAUGAUUAACACUCUUUAUUUUAUACAUAGAAGCGGAAGAAAGAAAUUUUUUUUGGUGGAAAUUCAACAGCGACUAAUCCUUUCGUAGGCUUCUGCCAUUGUUUCAAAGUUACAGGAAAGAUUUCAGUCGUUAUUACACCCCGCAAGUUGGUGCAGGUAUCAACCACACCCAAUUUGUGAAAAGCCGCUCAAAGGAAGCACGUGGCAGAGGCUUGGUGAGUAUAUCAACAACUUGGUCAGGAGAAUGUAAAUGUUUGACUUCAAUCUCCUUGUUCUGAACUUGAUCCUAAACAAAAUGAAAGUCUAUGGCAACGUGGUUCAUCCGACUAUGGAAUACAGGAUUGGCACAGAUAUACGUAGUGCUAACAUUGUCACAAAAUACUGUAGGAGCAACAUCAACAGGAAAAUGAAGCUUCCCAAACACCACACUACAAAGUAUAUAAGUUAAAUCAAAGAGGUUUUCCAAAUUUGUUUGUUUGAAAAGCAAUUUGGUGGGGAAAAUCGAGGUACAUGAAAAAAGACAAUCAAUUUAGCUAUCUAUAAUCUAUGUUCUCUUCUGUAAGAUAAAACUAAGUCGAAAUGUAAAUUUUGACCGCAAAUUUAAUUGUUCUUGAAGAAACGACAAACAUGAAACAAAAGUUUGAAUAUUAUUUUAGCAUUAUCUAUUCUUGAAUUACUACAAAUAUUUUUAUUUUAUGAAUUUGUUUCUAAACAAACUCAAGACAAAAAAGCUAGUUUAAAACUUGCCUGCAAAUAAAACUUGACGGAAAUAACAAGAAAAAUAUUAUUUUCUUCAAAUGAUCUGUCAAUUUUACUAUUUGGAUUAUGUUUGCAAAUAAAUGUUAUAGGAAAACAUGUUACUUGAGAAAAACUAAA